CGAACGCCAUCUUGGCUGCUUGUCUGUCACUGCCUGUGAUCCCUCAGCCAGAGAAGUCUCUUCGUUUCCCCGUUGGUUCCCUUUCGGGCCCUCUUCAGAGCCCGCAGGAAUGUCAGAUCCUAGUCGGAGCGGAUACACACGUCCUGGAGAGGUACAGACAAGUGAAUACAGAAGACACCCAGCAUUUGUGUGUUUACUGGGACUUGAACUCAGGUACUCAGGAGCCAGGGAGCUUUGUCUCCCAUCCAAGACACAGUUCUGACCAAUGAAUUCAGCAAACAUUUAAUAAAUGUCUCCUAUGCUGCAGCCAGCAGAAUAGACUGGAGCAGUCACGGUGCAAUGACAGUGCCUAGUAGGCAGAACUGUACGGCAUACUAUAUUGAAUAAAUCACGGGUGAGGGAGGAAUGGAGAGGGCAUGGUUAAUGGAGACCAGAGUACGGAUGGAUGGAAUAACUUCUGAUGUUAGAUGAGCACACUGUUGACAACAAUGAAUUUAACAGUGCAGAAUAAGUUUUUAGAGAGGAUUUCAAAUGUUCUCAAUGCAAGGCAACGAUAUAAAACAAUAAGGCAAUUACUCUGACCUAA